rnacentral:snRNA from 1 species
AUACUUACCUGGCAGGGGAGAUUCCAUGAUCACGAAGGCGGUUUUCCCAGGCCGAGCUUAUCCAUUGCACUCCAGAUGUGCUGACCCCUGCAAUUUCCCCAAACGUGGGAAACUCAACUGCAUAAUUUGUGAUAGUGGGGUCUGCAUUCGUGUUCUGCCCUG